rnacentral:ncRNA from 1 species
GGGAUUAGCAAAUAUUCAAGACACACUGAGUAACUUUGAACGCCGAAGUGGAGAGGCUCGUUCAUGUGCAACAGGCAGUUGAACAUGGCCGUCAGUCGGUCCUGAUGAGUAUGGUAAGCAGAUGCGCCGCUUGCCCGAUAGUCACGCGAGCGCAUGCGCCUCUCUUGCCCGUCGCGCCCGAUCGAAAGGCGCUAGUCGCGGUCAGAUCCCCGAAUCCGGAGUGCGGAGCACUCGGGCGCCGCGAGGGUCGUGCGUAACGCGACCGAUCCCGAAAGCGGCCGCGACGCCCCGGGGGAGAGUUCUCUUUUUCUUUGUGAAGGCGGGCAGGGCGCCCUGGAAUGGGGUUCGCCCCGAUAAGACGGGCCCGUGCCUUGGAACGCGUCCACUUCCUAUACGGUCGGCGGCGUCGGGUGAGCUCUCGCUGGCCCUUGAACAAACUCCGGUGGGAGAUGUUGUAAAUCUCGAGCGCCGCGGCCGUACCCCUAUCUGCAGCGAGCGCUCCAAGGAAUCAGCCUCUGGCA